UGGGAUUGUCUCAAAAUGAAAAUCUGGAGAACCAUCAAAGGCUUUAAGACCCCUUGAAUUGAGCAAGCGUUUGUAGUUGUAUUCAGUGUGGACAAAGGUGAUGUGAAAGCCUCUAAGAUGAAGUAACUUUGCUAAUCCGAACAAAGGAUUGAUAUGGCCUUGAACUGGAUAUGGGAUCAACACAGCAUGUGGCUUUUUCUCUACAGGGUUACUCAUCUGCAUUUUUUUCUUGUAGUGUGAAGAGUGUUUGGAGAAUGAGAUACAAUAUGCAUAAGCAUAUGCUUUCAACGGGGAUGAAGCAAUUAUGCUUUGGAGAAUGAGAUAUGGAGAAGGAAAAACAUGUCCAUUUAACUGGGAUGAACCAAUGUUGUUCAGCACCGAACGUGUUAACUAUGAUAUUCUGUUUUUAAUUGGAGAAUGAUACUUGUACGAUACUUAAACUUAGAGAAAGUUUUGUUAACACCCUCUGUGUCAGUCUAACGUGGCCAAGGAUGGUGACAAACCGUAUCUAAUCACUGGUUCUGAUGAUCACGCUGCCAAGGUUUUGUUUUGAUAUUGGUUUUCAUUUGUUUGCUUGAUUGAUUUACCUGUUUUUGAUCGUCUUGUGAAAAGACAAAUUAAUGGUGCACAAUUCUUUAUAACUUUUCCAAAAUACUUUGGUAUUUAUCAAUUAACAUUAACAUUACAUUUUACUACAGUACACAUGUGUUAAAAUUUUAUUAUACAUAUUUAAAUAAAUAAAUUUUGAGAAAAUUAUAUCAUAUUGUAAUUGUUUUGUAAAAGAUGUUGAACUGAAAAGAAAAUUAAAAAAUAUUAUAAUUGUUCUUGUAAAAGGGACUGAAAUUGUAACUCUACCCAAUGAACAAUUAAUUCCUUCUUCUCGAUUGUAGUACUUUCCUUCAACUUUCUCUCCUAGCAAUCGUGCUUUAACUCUUGACCGGUCCGAAAUGUCCUAGCAAAAGGUUAUUUAUUGUUUACGUAAGUGUUCGGUAUUCAAAUGCAAUAAAUACAAUAAUAAUGUAUUUUUGUCUUGAUUGUUGUGUUUAUUUAUACAGUCUCGAUGGACCCUUUUACUGUCUGGCCGAAGUUAAGAUAUGCAUAACGAUUAAAGGGUGUAUUAUCUAAUCUUCCAUAUGACUUAUCCUAAGUUAAUGAUUCAUUUAUCGUAAUAUAAUUUUUUUAUAAUGGUCGGUUUUGUGAUGGUCUGAUCCCUAAUAGUACAAUAAUUAUAAACAAUAUUAUCAAAUUUUUAAAUUAAUUUUAUUUAAUAAUUUUAAUUGAAAAAAUAAGUAUUGUGUAAAUUUUAUGCACAAUAGUUAUAGAAAACGUAAGUAACACUAAUAAUAUAAACUUAUACACAUAAAAUAAAAAAAUUAUAGUUUAAUUUGAGAAAAAAAUAAAUUUUAGAAAUAAUUUUUUUAAACAAAACAAAUAAAUUGUAUUUUAAAACCAAACUUUAAAAAAAGAUGGUUGUGCAUUAUUUUUUAAUUUAUUUUACUAAACUUUUCUUUUAUUGUUGUGAUAAACCAAACUCAUUUUGACUAUUUCGACUCUUCAGUGUAACUCUAAUCCACUUUAUAUGAAAACUUUAUAGACUAAAGUUUUUUUUAACUUAUUCAUUGAUUAAGUCAAUAAAAAAAUAUUUAUUUUAAAUAUGGAUUGUAACUGAUGUGGGACAUAAGUGAACUUAAUAUAUAUGAUCAAUCUAACUUUCUAAUACUCAGUAUAAUAGAACACGCAUCAAAGAAUAUCUUACCGUAUUUGUUUAAAAUUCCUGAAUAGACAUAAAACAAACUUGUGCUUAAGCAAUUUUUCCAUUUCAUAAAUCUUAACUGCAAAUAAGAAGUCUAAGAAAGCACUAAUGUGAUUUUCAAAGACAAAAGUAAUAUAGAUAGCUUAAAUAUGUUGUAAACAUAAGUUUCACUAACACUUGAGCCAUCAUUUUUGCUUCACAGAGCAACAGAUCCAAGAUACAUGACUCAUCACAGUUCAGAUUCAGAGGAAAAAGAAAAGUUGUUUAAUCUAAUUUUGUUUGAAAAACACUUCACUAAUCACUUUGUCCAAGUUCAUGAAUGAAAGACCACCAGAUCUAGUGUCCUCCUCUGCCUUCUUCUUCAACUGCAUCACCUUUUGCCUCAUCUUCUUUCCUUUCUCUCCCACCAUCAAUUCAUUAACAUGUUUCUCCACCUCCUUUCUCUUCACAUCAGUGUCAAUUUCAAUUCAAAUGCCCCAUUCAUUGCAAAUAUUUCUGUAGUUUGUUGGUUGAUCAGCAAAAAAUGGCCAACACACCAUUGGCACACCAGCACAAAUGCUUUCAAUUGUUGAGUUCCAUCCACAAUGAGUCAAGAAUCCACCAAUUGAAGGGUGAUUCAGCACUUGCUCUUGUGGACACCAGCUUGCAAUUAGACCUCUAUCAGAUAUUUCAUUCACAAACUCAAAUGACAAAAUCACUGAGCCACCAAUCACAAGGUCAGGCCUAAUGAUCCAUAAUAAGGGUCUCUUGCUGUUGGCCAAACCCCAAGCAAACUCCAAAAGUUUCUCUGGAGACAUAAUCGUGAUGCUACCAAAAUUCACAUAAACAACAGAAUUAGGUUCCUUGGACUUAAGCCAUUCAAGGCACUCAGUAUCUUCCUUCCAGAGUUUGGAAGCUAAAGAUUCCAAAUGAUUCUGUGGACUUUGAUUUAAAAAUGAUGGGAAAGGGCCAAUGGGGUAAAUAGAAGGGAGCAUAGAAGAGAGAGCCUUCAAUGCCUCACUCUCAAGUUCUUCAGAAGUAUUUAUAACAGUUGCAGGGGCUUUGAGCACAUUAUCAACCAUAUCAAUGAGAUAUUCUAACAUAAAGUUAUUUGCAUCUGUUGUCCUUAUAUAGUCAGGUAGGUCCUCCAGUCUAAAGUUUUUCAAACCUGGAAUCCAGUCUAGUUUGGUGUCCAAAUACCCAUUUGUCAAAUAACUCUCAUCUGCAAUCAUGAUUACAAAGUCAAUAGUUACAAGUUCCACAUAAUUACAGAUGAACAUUUUCUUCAUUAGCAUGUAUCCAUUAGUUAAAUAGUAAAAAGGGCAGAUUGAAAUAACUUUUCCGAGGAUUUUGUUACCUUCAGUUAUUAUUUCAAUUCAGAUUAAGAUUCUCACUGGUCUUACCUUAUGGAUGCUAUAACUAAUGCUAUAAAACUUUUCUACAGAAAGAAAAGAUAAAGUAAAGUAAUAUUUUUAGUUCAGUCUAUCGGGGAAAACCAACAACUGAUAUCUUAGCAAAAGACAUUAUUUGUUAUUCACAUACAUAAUAUCAGUUGUUGAUAUUACUUCAUUUAGAGGAACCAGAUUCGAAUUACUCGUGUUGUUCAUGCACUUUCUUAAAAGAGAGAGCCUUAAUGCAUACCUUUGAGUGGUAUUAGAGCUUUAUCAGAAAGAGUACGAAAGUGCAUAAUAGACAAUAAGGACCCGGCACUGGCUGGUGAAAAUAGAACAAUAGGGAGUUCUAGUUCUUGAGCAGCUUGUGUAGUAAAAGUCAAGGAAAAAUCAGAAACCAAGCAAGUAACUUACGGCAUAUGACCAGCAAUGGCAGAAUCAUUGAGUCUAGCAAGAAGUUCACGAAAGGGUAGGAAAAAGUUCUCUCUCACUGAUUUACAAAGGGACACUGAGUCUUGAGUGACAUUAACAACUUCAUCUGUGAGAGGAAGACCAUCUGGGAUUGUUUCUAAAUGAAAAUCUGGAGAACCAUCAAAGGCUUUCAGACCCCUUGAAUUGAGCAAGCGUUUGUAGUUGUAUUCAGUGUGGACAAAGGUGAUGUGAAAGCCUCUAAGAUGAAGCAACUUUGCUAAUCCGAACAAAAGAUUGAUAUGGUCUUGAGCUGGAUAUGGGAUCAACACUGCGUGUGGCUUUCUCUCUGCAGGGUUACCCAUCUACAAUUUUUUCUUGUAGUGUGAAGAGAGUGCUUUGGAGAAUGAGAUACAAUAUAGAUAGGCAAGUGCUUUUAACUGGGAUGAACCAAUAAUGCUUUGGAUAAUGAGAUAUCGAUAUGGAAAAGCAUGUGCAUUUAAAUGGGAUAAUUAUGUUCCGCACCUAAUGUGUUAACUAUGAUGUUCUGUUUUUCAUGUGCCAAACAUAAAGCCAAUGGCACUUUGAACUUUCCCAUAAUGGAAACAUGUUGCAUACACUACGUGUAAUAAUUAUAUAAUAGAUUAUGUAUGAGUAAUAUGUGUCCUUGAUUUUAUGUGAUUUUUAUUUUAUAUUUAUAAUGGAAGUCGGAUAUAUACGUAAUAAUCCAUAUUAAAUGUAAUUUUAAAUUGUAUUUUUAGGGUUUGUAAUUAUGUAAGUAAAUAAUUGCAUGUAUAAUUAAUUCUAUUAUCAUAUUAUUGUUUUAAUUUUUACAUGUUUAAAUUUAAUUUACAAAUACCACUUUUCAAUUUGGUUUUUUUAUAUUUCACUUUUUUAAAAUUCAUAUUUGAGAAAAUAAAAUUGAAUAUCAUUUGUAAUUAAUUAUUUAUAUAUUUUCAAUUUCAAAAAUUAAUUAAUUUUUUAAUAUUAUUUUUAUUUAAUAAGUUAAUGAUUUAAAUUAUUUUUCAAUUUUAAUUUAUACUUAUUCUUAUUAAAAGAAUACAAUGAAGGGUAAGCCCAAAGACCUAAAGGGAAGCCAAAGAGUUGGGAUUUUCUUAGGAACAACAUUAAGCGUUUGGAUGACACCCAUCGUGAACACGUCAAAGGAAAAGGCUAUAUGCAUAUAAGAAAAGAAGCAUAAGUAUAAAAGGGGAGUUCAGAAGGAGCCUGAUCGAUACAAAUGCUAUCAGCCGGAUGACACGAGUUGAUAGCAAGGAUGUCAUCAACAACAUCAGGUUUCAAAAGGCACACUCUAUCUAUGAAAUAAGUGAUAGAAAAGGAAUCCUAAAUUGGAAAAAAUACCUAGUGAAUUUCGGAUCAACCCAGUCAAAUUCCAAACGAUGGGAUAACACUCCAUUAGAGUUUGAUCAGUCGACAAUAGUGUCCAAAUCAUUAACUCUAACUGAGUUAACACUAGAGGGCACAACCUCCUCAUGUUGAGGCAUGGGGGGCAACAUUUCAAGCGCCCCAAAAGAGGAAGAAGAAGAAAGAGACGAUAUGGAGGUAGAAGAGCUAGAGGAAGACAUGAUUAACCUCUCAGAAUGAAGGGAAAACACCUCGCUAGAUUGUAAGGGGUUUCGGAGGUCAGAGUGAAGCAAAUGAUGGACAAGUGCUAGAGGACCACUAUUUAUAGGCAUUGGAGAAGAGGAAUAGUAAAGGUCUCUUUGAUGUCAACCGUUAGAUCUCGCUCAAUACAACGAUCAUAUUGCUUAGCGCCAAACAUUUCAAGUAAUCUUGACACACGUCUUGUCAGGAUUUCGACGUCAUCGAUGUCACAUCCAACAUCGGUAAGUACAAUCAGCACAUUUAGACUCUUCAAGUUGGCACCUUUCCAGCCUGAGGGCAAGUGUAUCGGUUAGAACCGGACGAAUCAUGGAGGAUUCAGUACCCAGUUUAUGUCAACCGACAUGAGUAAAUCCCCGUCAAACUCGAUAGAAGAUUAACACGUCUAAAACAGUGAUUAAGAAUUAGGUAAUGUGCUCUUAAUUAUGAUCCAAACAUUAAUCCCACCCAAUAAAAAUGGGCUCAUGAUAAUCAUAUAAAGUCACAAGUUUUGAGAAAAAAGCAUGUCAUUAUCACAUAUUAACUAUAUCGAAUACCGAGAACUUACUUAAGUGUUGGAAUACCUUUUGUAGGUACCAUCCCGACCAAGAGCAUACGAAGGAGUGGAGGCCAGGGGAGGAGGAGUAGCAAGGGUGAUUCAAAGAGAAGUAGAGUUGUCAAGUGAAGUGGAGGGAAAAAAAGAUCGACCGAUCGAAGAAAAAAGUAAUAAUUCUCUUAAUCAUUUAUGUACUAGAACAAAAAUAGUUAAUUUUUCUCUUAUAUGCAAAAUCAAAGAGGAUUUUAAUCCUCUUGUAAACAAAUUAAUUGUGCAAAGUUGUUUAUAACCUUGCCAAAACACUUUGGUAUUUAUCAAUUAGAAGUUAACAUUAAGAUUACAUUUUACUAAACUACACAUAUGUUGAAAUUUUAUUAUAGAUAUUUAAAUAGAUAAAUUGCGAACUAUAUUUAUUGGAAUACGAGAUUUAUUGUAGUAUAUAUUCUAAAGAAUAAAUUAAGCAUUGUAUAAAAUCAACUAUCUGAAAAUUAAACCAUAUUGUAAUUAUAAACAAUAUUAUCAAAUUUGAAAGUUAAUGCUCUUUAAUGAUUUUAAUUAAAGAAAUAAGUAUAUAUUGUGUAAAUUUUAUGCACAAUAGUUCUAGAAAACAUAAGUAACACUAAUAAUAUAAACUUAUACACAUAAAAAAUAAGAAAUUAUAGUUUAAUUUGAGAAAAAAAAUUAGUUUUAUAAAUAAUUUUUUUAAGAAACUCACAAAAAAAGGAAAAAUAAAUAAAUUGUAUUUUAAAACAAAACUUUAAAAAAUGAUGGUUGUGCAUAAUUUUUAAUUUACUUUACUAAACUUUUCUUUUAUUGUUGUGAUGAAGCCAACUUAUUUUUGCUUCACAAAGCAACAGAUCCAAGAUAAAUGACUCAUCACAGUUCAGAUUUAGAGGAAAAAGAAAAGUUGUUUAAUCUAAUUUUGUUUAAACAACACUUCACUAAUCACUUUGUCCAAGUUCAUGAAUGAAAGACCACCACAUCUAGUGUCCUCCUCUGCCUUCUUCUUCAACUGCAUCACCUUUUGUCUCAUCUUCUUUCCUUUCUCUCCCACCAUCAAUUCAUUAACAUGUUUCUCCACCUCCUUUCUCUUCACAUCAGUGUCAAUUUCAAUUCCAAUGCCUCAUUCAUUGCAAAUAUUUCUGCAGUUUGUUGGCUGAUCAGCAAAAAAUGGCCAACACACCAUUGGCACACCAGCACAAAUGCUUUCAAUUGUUGAGUUCCAUCCACAAUGAGUCAAGAAUCCACCAAUUGAAGGGUGAUUCAGCACUUGCUCUUGUGAACACCAGCUUGCAAUUAGACUUCUAUCAGAUAUUUCAUUCACAAACUCAGAUGACAAAAUCACUGAGCCACCAAUCACAAGGUCAGGCCUAAUGAUCCAUAAAAAAGGUCUUUUGCUGUUGGCCAAACCCCAAGCAAACUCCAAAAGUUUCUCUGGAGACAUAACUGUGAUGCUACCAAAAUUCACAUAAACAACAGAAUUAGGUUCCUUGGACUUAAGCCAUUCAAGGCACUCAGUAUCUUCCUUCCAGAGAUUGGAAGCUAAAGAUUCCAAAUGAUUCUGUGGACUUUGAUUUAAAAAUGAAGGGAAAGGGCCAAUGGGGCAAACAGAAGGGAGCAUAGAAGAGAGAGCCUUGAAUGCCUCAGUCUCAAGUUCUUCAUAAGUAUUUAUAACAGUUGUAGGGGCUUUGAGCACACUAUCAGCCAUAUCAAUGAUAGAUUUUACUAUAAAGUUGUUUGGAUCUGUUGUCCUUAUAAAGUGAUUCGGUCUAAAGUUUUUCAUGGUUGGAAUCCUGUCUAGUUUGGUGUCCAAAUAACUCUCAUAUGCAAUCAUGUUUACAAAGCCAAUAAUUACAAGUUCCACAUAAUUACAUAUGAAAAUUUUCUUCAUUUGCAUGUAUCCAUUAGUUACAAAUAGUAAAAAGGGCUAACAUUGAAAUAAGUUUUCCGAGGAUUUUGUUACCUUCAGUUAUUAUUUCAAUUCAGAUUAAGAUUGUCAAUGGUCCUACCUAAUGGAUGCUAUAACUAAUGCCAUAAAACUUUUCUACAGAAAGAAAAGAUAAAGUAAAGUAAUAUAUUUAGUAGAUCAAUCUAUCAAGGAAAAUCGACAACUGAUAUGAUAUCUCAGCAAAGACAUUAUUUUAAAGGCACAUAUACACAAUAUCAAUUGUUAAUAUAUUACUUCAUUUCGAGAAACCAGAACCGAAUUACUCGUGUUAUUCAUGCACUUUCUUAAAAGAAAGAGCUUUAAAGCAUACCUUUGAGUGAUAUUAGACCUUUAUCAGAAAGAAUACGGAUUUGCAAAAUAGACAAUAAGGAGCUGGCACUGGCUGUUGAAAAUAGAAGAAUAGGGAGUGUUAUUUCUUGAGCAGCUUGUGUAGUAAAAGUCAAGGAAUAAUCAGAAACCAAGCCAGUAACUGGAGGUAUAUGGCCAGCAAUGGCAGAAUCAUGGAGUCUAGCAAGAAGUUCACGAAAGGGUAGGAGAAAGUUCUCUCUCACUGAUUUAGAAAGGGGCGCUAAGUCUUGAGUGACAUUAACAACUUCAUCUGUGAGGGGAAGACCAUCUGGGAUUGUCUCAAAAUGAAAAUCUGGAGAACCAUCAAAGGCUUUAAGACCCCUUGAAUUGAACAAGCGUUUGUAGUUGUAUUCGGUGUGGACAAAGGUGAUGUGAAAGCCUCUAUGAUGAAGCAACUUUGCUAAUCCGAACAAAGGAUUGAUAUGGCCUUGAACUGAAUAUGGGAUCAACACAGCGUGUGGCUUUUUCUCUGCAGGAUUACUCAUCUGCAUUUUUUUCUUGUAGUGUGAGGAG
rnacentral:lncRNA from 1 species